rnacentral:lncRNA from 1 species
AGUAAGCUCCUUGAGGACUGGAACUGUUUUUCUGCAAAUAAACCUUGAAAGAAUGCAGAGCAACUAAAGGAACAGUGAAGGGACUUGUCCAAGGUUACCAGAAGCAAGAGUAUGUGAAC